rnacentral:lncRNA from 1 species
AUGAAGCCACAGAGUCUGACCUGUGAGGAGGGUGGUGGGUCCACAGGAACCCAGGCUCUGCUGAGAUGGGCGGAUCUGGGCAAGGGAAAGAAAUGCAAUCAGGAAUGCAGCAAGGUGGAGCUGAAAGGUCCUGUGAAGACUGCUGAGCAUCAGGGUCGGGUUGGAGUGCAGUGGCAAAAUAAAGGCUCGUUGAAGCCUGGAUCUCCUGGCCUCAAGUGAUCCUCCCACCUCAACCCCCCAAGUAGCUGGGACCACAGAGAAUGCCCCCAGCUGCACUUCAAAUCCCAUCCUGAACUUGGACAAGCAAGAGCUGUCAUCUUGUGGGCACCACAUGAUUUCCUUAAAGACAACUGGCCUGGACCUAUAAGUUGCUUUUAAAUUUUUUAUCUUCUAGAUAGUGCUGGCGUGAUCAUUUUCAUACACCCAUUCGUAGCAUGUGCAAAAUACCUACGGCUUGCUGAGCACUGUGUUGACUGAACACCCCAGGCUAAGGCCCUGCGGGGCUGGAAGGGGGAAAACAACUCUAUUUCACUUCUGAAAAUGGCUGCGCAGGAGGGAACUGAAAGAGGAGGCCGUGCCUGUGCCAGGGUGUUACAUUUGUGCCCAUCCCUGACUUGCCCGCCCCUCCAAUGUGCCUGCCACUGUGCCGUGUACACUCUGCCAUUCUGGAAGUAUGUAUUAUGCUUCAGAGACAUCAGAGAGCCCAGGGCAGGCUGAUUCUACUUUUCUACAACCAGGGAGCUAAAGACUGCAUCUAGUUAGGGGUAGCGAGCCUGGAAUAUCAGCUGGAAAAAGCAAUGGAGAUUCUUGGCGUUGUCCCUAUCAGAGCUUCCUGAAGCCCUUCAAAGGAGCAGCGUGCUGGGUGGACGGUACUAUAUCCAUGACCUCAUCUCCUUUGCUGUCCUCCUUUUUCUGGUCAAAUCAAACAAAAACAAAACAUUUGCCAACAUUAUAUUUAGGGGCUGUUGUAUAUUAAGAGGAGCAAUUGUGAGGAAAUCUAAAAUUAGCCCAACAUUAAUCAGGACCUGUCACCAAAGUAGAUGACUUGGUUUCCAAUUCCACAUGUCAUGCUCUUAGAGACAGAGCUUAGUGACACUGAGGAAGCCCAGUGCUGGGACACUGUGUGACUGCUGGCCGUGGUAUAAUGUGCGCUUGCUGCAGAGUCGGGCGGGCCUGGGUUUGACUCCUGGCUCUGACCUUUGCUAGCUUCGGAUCCAAGAAGUGCCUUCUUAACCUCUUUAACCUCAGUUUCUCCAUGUGAAAGGAGAGGCUGAAAGCACCCACAGCAUUGUUGUGACAGUUAGAUAAGAUAAUAUGUGUAAAGGUUGACCAUGUAGAGUUCCUGGUGCAAUGGUCCUUUGAAAACGCUGUUUUCCCUCCCCCGGCAAGGCUGUAGCUUCUGAAACGAACUCAGAGUAGCAGCCAGGGCAGUCCUGAAAAGAACCGUCUCUGCUUGGGAACCAUCAAUCACCUCUCCGUUUUCAAAGUGCCGCAGACUCUCGGAGAGAGAAAAGACCUUCCG